GCAGCCAUGAGCCUUCAUAUGCGAUGGACCCUUCUUAUCUUAUUGUUUCUACACAACACAGAUAUCUCCUGGGCAGACAGCUUCAUUGUUGUUGGUCCUUCUAAGCCCAUUGUCACCUAUGUCGGUGAAGAUGUGGUCCUGCCAGCCUCCCUCUCAACGGCGCUUAAUGCCAAGGCCUUUGAAGUGAGGUGGUUUACAACUGACAUCUUAUCACCGUUGCUUUUAUACCAAAAUAACAAAAUCAGACAAUAGAGUGACAGAAGAAAAACCCUGAGCAUAGACAACCUCAAGAAUGGUAACGUGUCUCUAAUAAUCAGAAAUGUCCGUGUUUCAGAUGAUCAUCUCUACAGGUAUGUUGUGUACUCUGGACAAAGAGAAGAUUAGACUCAGGUCUCACUCACAGUUGAAGUUUUAGGUGCUCAGCCCUCCAUUUUAAUGAGCUGCACUGAAAGUCAGAAGACCCGACUGGAGUGCAGCUCUGAGAAGUGGAACCCCCAACCAGAAGUCACCUGGACGGACAUGAAUGGAGCAGACGUGACAUCACAGUCCACAAUAAAAUCAGAGUGGGACUCCGAGGGGCUUCUGACAGUGAGCAGCGUUCUUCCAGUGAAGGAGGAGUACAAUGUGUUCAGCUGUAUGAUGAGAAGUUAAGAACCAAAGCCAGACUGGCACUCCCGACUUGGCAUCUACGUCAUGAUAAAGUGUAGCAUUGGUCAAUGCCUUGGUUUUACACAGAAUUUGACAAUGAAGCAUGUAUUUGUAGAUCAAUCUAAAAAGCUAGGCUCCCAUUUAGUUAAUAUCUUGAAAAAUCUGAACCAUUUAAUUUGGAAAAUUUUUUAGAAAAAAAUUGUAAUGAAACACAUAUUAAUUAUGGUAAUCAUUUGAAAAUAUGCUUUACUAUUGUGACUCACCUUGAAAUGUCACAGUAGUUUCAAUCUAUACUAAUAAAAGGCAAAGCCCUCACUGACUGACUGACUGACUGACUGACUGACUGACUCUUCACUAAUUCUCCAACUUCCCGUGUAGGUAGAAGGCUGAAAUUUGGCAGGCUCAUUCCUUACAGCUUACUUACAAAAGUUAGGCAGGUUUCAUUUCGAAAUUCAAAUCGUAACGGUCAUAACUGGAACCUAUUUUUUUGUCCAUAUACUGUAAUGGACGGGGGCGGAGUCGCGUAUCGCGUCAUCACACCUCCUACGUAAUCACGUGAAACGCCUUGGGGCCGAUCUGGAAGAAGGUAGCACAGCGCCUUGAUUUUAACGGUUCCAUGUCUUGGUGGGUUUAAUACUGUGUAAGCAUACAUAUUAACACAUGUGCAAUUAAACGUGUGCAUUUACGGGGUGAU